ACAUUGCUAUGUCACGUUUCAGGC
rnacentral:siRNA from 1 species